GAAAGUGUAGCUCAGUAGUGGAGUGCAUGCUUGGCAAGAAAGAGGUCCUGGGUUCAAUCCCCAGUACUUCCA
rnacentral:tRNA from 1 species